rnacentral:rRNA from 1 species
CCUACGGGAGGCAGCAGUGAGGAAUAUUGGUCAAUGGACGAGAGUCUGAACCAGCCAAGUAGCGUGAAGGAUGACUGCCCUAUGGGUUGUAAACUUCUUUUAUAUGGGAAUAAAAUGUUCCACGUGUGGGAUUUUGUAUGUACCAUAUGAAUACGGAUCGGCUAACUCCGUGCCAGCAGCCGCGGUAAUACGGAGGAUCCGAGCGUUAUCCGGAUUUAUUGGGUGUAAAGGGAGCGUAGGUGGAUUGGUAAGUCAGUUGUGAAAGUUUGCGGCUCAACCGUAAAAUUGCAGUUGAAACUGGCAGUCUUGAGUACAGUAGAGGUGGGCGGAAUUCGUGGUGUAGCGGUGAAAUGCUUAGAUAUCACGAAGAACUCCGAUUGCGAAGGCAGUUCACUGGACUGCAACUGACACUGAGGCUCGAAAGUGUGGGUAUCAAACAGGAUUAGAUACCCGAGUAGUC